UACGUAGGUGGCGAGCGUUGUCCGGAUUUAUUGGGCGUAAAGAGCGUGUAGGCGGCCAGGUAGGUCUGCUGUGAAAACUCGAGGCUUAACCUCGAGAUGUCGGCGGAAACCAUCUGGCUAGAGUCCGGAAGAGGAGAGUGGAAUUCCUGGUGUAGCGGUGAAAUGCGCAGAUAUCAGGAAGAACACCCGUGGCGGAAGGCGGCUCUCUGGGACGGUACUGGACGCUGAGACGCGAAAGCGUGGGGAGCGAACAGG
rnacentral:rRNA from 1 species